AUUGAACGCUGGCGGCAUGCCUUACACAUGCAAGUCGAACGGCAGCACGGGCUUCGGUCUGGUGGCGAGUGGCGAACGGGUGAGUAAUGUAUCGGAACGUACCUUUCAGUGGGGGAUAACGUAGCGAAAGUUACGCUAAUACCGCAUAUUCUGUGAGCAGGAAAGCAGGGGAUCGCAAGACCUUGCGCUGACUGAGCGGCCGAUAUCAGAUUAGCUAGUUGGUGAGGUCAAGGCUCACCAAGGCGACGAUCUGUAGCGGGUCUGAGAGGAUGGUCCGCCACACUGGAAAGGAGACAUGGUCCAGCCUCCUACGGGAGGAAGCAGUGGGGAAUUUUGGACAAUGGGGGCAACCCUGAUCCAGCCAUGCCGCGUGAGUGAAGAAGGCCUUCGGGUUGUAAAGCUCUUUCGGCCGGGAAGAAAUCGCAUAGGUUAAUACCCUGUGUGGAUGACGGUACCGGAAUAAGAAGCACCGGCUAACUACGUGCCAGCCGCCGCAGUAACAC
rnacentral:rRNA from 1 species